rnacentral:rRNA from 1 species
AUUGAACGCUGGCGGCAUGCCUUACACAUGCAAGUCGAACGGUAACGCGGGGCAACCUGGCGACGAGUGGCGAACGGGUGAGUAAUGUAUCGGAACGUGCCCAGUUGUGGGGGAUAACUGCUCGAAAGAGCAGCUAAUACCGCAUACGACCUGAGGGUGAAAGCGGGGGAUCGCCAGACCUCGCGCAAUUGGAGCGGCCGAUAUCAGAUUAGGUAGUUGGUGGGGUAAAGGCUCACCAAGCCAACGAUCUGUAGCUGGUCUGAGAGGACGACCAGCCACACUGGGACUGAGACACGGCCCAGACUCCUACGGGAGGCAGCAGUGGGGAAUUUUGGACAAUGGGCGCAAGCCUGAUCCAGCAAUGCCGCGUGCAGGAAGAAGGCCUUCGGGUUGUAAACUGCUUUUGUCAGGGAAGAAAUCUUCUGGGUUAAUACCUCGGGAGGAUGACGGUACCUGAAGAAUAAGCACCGGCUAACUACGUGCCAGCAGCCGCGGUAACAC